rnacentral:rRNA from 1 species
AUGGAAGAGAAAAAACACCGGAGAAUGGUUUUGUUAUGUAUUUGCAUGCAUAUGCUAUAUCAGCUAAGAGCAUCUACAGCCGGACGUCUUAAACUAGUCUCAAACGGGACGGGUAAAAAAAACCAACCCAGUCGGGUGCCUCAAACUAAUUCAAGAGUCCCGACUAACCGGCACCUCUCAUAUCUAGCUCAAAUCAUUCGCCAUGUUGGAUCGACGGUGGGAUCCCACACUAAAUCAGUCGGAAACCAAUCGGUACGACAACCGUCUCUUUCGAUUUUGAGGAGGGCAGUGAGGACGCAUUGA